rnacentral:rRNA from 1 species
GCUCACCCGUGGAGGGUCAUUGUAAACUGGGAGACUUGAGUGCAGAAGAGGAAAGUGGAAUUCCAUGUGUAGCGGUGAAAUGCGUAAAGAUAUGGAGGAACACCAGUGGCGAAGGCGACUUUCUGGUCUGUAACUGACACUGAGGCGCGAAAGCGUGGGGAGCAAACAGGAUUAGAUACCCUGGUAGUCCACGCCGUAAACGAUGAGUGCUAAGUGUUAGAGGGUUUCCGCCCUUUAGUGCUGAAGUUAACGCAUUAAGCACUC